AUUGAACGCUGGCGGCAUGCCUAACACAUGCAAGUCGAACGGCAGCACGGGUGUUUGCCCCGGGUGGCGCGUGGCGCACGGGUGUGUAAUCUAUCGAACCAUGUCCUGGUGUGGGAGAUAGCCCGGCGAAAGCCGGUAUUAUACCACACACGAUCUACGAAAUAGAGGGGGAUACUCUCACCCCUCGCUCUAUGGGGCGGCCCGAUCGCCGAUGAGCUAGUUGGUGGGGUAGAGGCCUACCAAGGCAACGACCUGUAGCUGGUCUGAGAGGACGAGCAGCAACACUGGGACUGAGACACGGCCCAGACUCCUACGGGAGGCAGCAGUGGGGAAUUUUGGACAAUGGGCGAAAGCCUGAUCCAGCAAUGCCGCGUGUGUGAAGAAGGCCUUCGGGUUGUAAAGCACUUUAGUGCGGAAAGAAAUGCUGGGACCUAAUACGGUCGGGGGAUGACGGUACCGAAAGAAUAAGCACCGGCUAACUACGUG
rnacentral:rRNA from 1 species